UACAGAGGUCUCAAGCGUUGUUCGGAUUCAUUGGGCGUAAAGGGUGCGUAGGCGGCGCGGUAAGUCGGAUGUGAAAUCUCGGAGCUUAACUUCGAAACUGCAUUCGAUACUGCCGUGCUUGAGGACUGGAGAGGAGACUGGAAUUUACGGUGUAGCGGUGAAAUGCGUAGAUAUCAAGUGGAACACCAGUGGCGAAGGCGAGUCCCUGGACAACUCCUGACACUGAGGCACGAAAGCUAGGGGAGCAAACAGG
rnacentral:rRNA from 1 species